ensembl:lncRNA
CUUUUCCAGUCUCGUCUUAACACGUCUUCCACAGAGACACCACCAUAAGUCCUCUGCGCGGAUGAUCUAAUACAUGCGCGCCGUGAUGAUAAAGAAGAUCUGCGAUACACGAUCCAUGACACAGCGCUAUAUGCUCAAUAAUCGAUUAUACAUGAUGCUACGACGUGGAACGUGCACAAUAUUGUGCUAAAUAUCAAGCGUUUAAUUUGAGAUAGUAGAUAGGCUCGAGCUUUAAAAAUAGCGUUCGGAUGCAUUCAUUAAUUAAUUAAUAACUACUUGUUAAUUAACUACUAAUAAUGGAGCUAUUAUUUAGUAAUUACUUAGUAAGCAUUCGUUCAUUAUUAACUGCUCAGAAUGAUUUUAUUUACGCUAUACUGUCACAGAUACAACAUGAGCACUCACAUAAACCACUGACGAAAAUAGUGUUGCUUUGUUAAGCAGCAACAUGAACCAGUCCAUACAGGAUUUUGUGGGGUAAAUGUUCGUAAAUGAGACCUUUUAGCUGUAUGCAUGUUCGACGCAUGUGAAUCAAAGAGGGCUUUGGCUGAAUGCGCGUCCUGAUGACGUGACAUGACAAUUUGGACAAUUUUGAAAAUUUGGAUGCGCAUUCAUUUCUGCGAUCGCAAAAUGGCAAAAUCCUGGAGGGACUGAACAGUAACAAAAUAAUCACAUCGUUUGAAAUUGUUGUUUCGUACGGUUCGCACCGCUAUUACUUAUUAUCACUCGAAAAAUAUUUCUUGUUUUGUUUUACUUUCCUAGAUGACAUGAGAUCCACAUAAAAACCUCUUCCUCUUCAUCAUUUAAGCCUCCGACAUACCUUAAGGCAGGAAUCCCAAAUGCACUACAUGUGCUCACUACAUAAGGAUUGAUCCUGGUCAGAGUUGCAGUGGAUCUGGAGUCUACCCAAACUGGGCAUGAAGGAAGGAAUACACCCUGACUGGGAUGCCAGAACAUCACUCGCCACCAUUCACACACUCAUUCACACAUGGGGGCAUUUUAAGUUUUAG